UAGCCUAGUGGUUAAGGCGAAGGAUCGCCAAUCCGGAGACGACGGGUUCGAUUCCCGU
rnacentral:tRNA from 1 species